GGGCCAUAGCCAAGUGGUACAGCAUCUGCUUUGCAUGCAGAAGGUCCCAGGUUCAAUCCCUGACAUCUCCU